UACGGGGGGGCAAGCGUUGUUCGGAAUUACUGGGCGUAAAGGGCUCGUAGGCGGCCAACUAAGUCGGACGUGAAGCCCCGGGCUCAACCUGGGAACUGCAUUGGAAACUAACGGGCUCGAGUGUGGCAGGAGGGGGUGGAAUUCCACGUGUAGCAGUGAAAUGCGGUAGAGAUGUGGAGGAACACCGAUGGCGAAGGCAGCCCCUGGGCUA
rnacentral:rRNA from 1 species